CCUCCCCCCGCAACGUACUACGGCACGUCAGCGUGGCCUUCUUCUGCUGCACCGUCGUACCACGCAGGCCCCUCCAGCCAGUACACAUGGACGUCUGCCGAGCCUUCACAGUCCUCCUACCCUAGUCAGGAGGAUGAGGCUGGCCCCGACACCGCAUACGACAUCGUCCGUGACUUCUUCGGGGGCACACCUGACUACGACGUCCUUCAGCGGUCCCAGGUUUCCAGUGCACCGCUUCGGACCCAGCCCACGCAUGACGAGCCCUCGACACCGGUGGUCCCUACUAGGCCUAGCAGACACGUCGGCCCACCUGACCCCCUCACCUACUCCAGGGGUCACGUGAGGGUUAACCAGCGGCAUCGGGACCACGAUGGGGCGCACGGACGACGGCAACGAGGGAGGCAUGAGUAGCAUUUUACAUUUUUUGUAACUAACAUAUGCGUAUUCGCUUCGUGAUGUGCUCAUAUGUAUUAAGACACGUUCACUUUGUAUGGUCGACUUAGCAUUUCGUAAAUGCAUUUCAUAUUCAGACA